rnacentral:rRNA from 1 species
AUACGGAGGGUCCAAGCGUUAUCCGGAAUCAUUGGGUUUAAAGGGUCCGCAGGCGGUCAAUUAAGUCAGAGGUGAAAGCCCAUCGCUCAACGAUGGAACUGCCUUUGAUACUGGUUGACUUGAGUUAUACGGAAGUAGAUAGAAUAAGUAGUGUAGCGGUGAAAUGCAUAGAUAUUACUUAGAGUACCGAUUGCGAAGGCAGUCUACUACGUAUAUACUGACGCUGAGGGACGAAAGCGUGGGGAGCGAACAGGAUUAGAAACCCCAGUAGUCC